rnacentral:rRNA from 14 species
CUGAAGAGUUUGAUCAUGGCUCAGAUUGAACGCUGGCGGCAGGCUUAACACAUGCAAGUCGAACGAUAUAGUGGCAGACGGGUGAGUAACGCGUGGAAACGUGCCUUUCACUACGGAAUAGCUUUUGGAAACGAAAGGUAAUACCGUAUACGCCCUCCGGGGGAAAGAUUUAUCGGUGAAAGAUCGGUCCGCGUUAGAUUAGCUAGUUGGUGAGGUAAGAGCUC